rnacentral:rRNA from 1 species
UACGGAGGGUGCGAGCGUUGUCCGGAAUUACUGGGCGUAAAGAGCUCGUAGGCGGUUUGUCACGUCGUCUGUGAAAUCCCUCGGCUUAACCGGGGGCGUGCAGGCGAUACGGGCAGACUUGAGUACUACAGGGGAGACUGGAAUUCCUGGUGUAGCGGUGAAAUGCGCAGAUAUCAGGAGGAACACCGGUGGCGAAGGCGGGUCUCUGGGUAGUAACUGACGCUGAGGAG